rnacentral:tRNA from 1 species
GGCGAAGUAGCUCAGUUGGUUAGAGCAACGGCUUCAUAAGCCGUGGGUCGCUGGUUCAAGUCCAGUCUUCGCUA